rnacentral:rRNA from 1 species
AUGCGUUACUCCCAAAACGUUGGCGACAUGCACUCCGGAGGUUUCUCGGCAACAACGGGACACAUGUAUUUCUGUCUCAGCUCAUCGCCGGCAAAUCCGAAUCGGCUUAACCAUGAAGUCUUGGGGCACCAGCUGUACCGUUCCGCCGAUGCGGAUAAGAGGAGCAACAUGAAUUACUGCAGCUGGUUCCGGUCCUGGAGAAUUGCCAGAAGAAAAAUCACCAAUACCCAACAAAGAGGCUGCAAUUAG